AGUUGCUGACGCAUGAGAAAGGCCUCCAGAGAGAGAACAAGUUUGUACACCCGUGUUUACUGCCAGCGAUUCACCAGUGACCGGAGACCAGCGCACAAUCUCAUCUGUGCUUUUUCUUUCAGUUUUUUUUUUUAAUUAUCUUUCACUUAUCUUUCACUUGUGCACUUUGUCAUCAGCUGCAAUGAGCCGCAGGGAAUUUGCCCAGCUAAUUGGAAAUGAAGGAUCAGAUCGGAACAUCACAUGGCUGAGAUCAGGACGCCUCCGACCAUCAACAGGUUCCCCAUCUGCAGGAGGACCAUCUUCAGACGGCCCAAUACCAGCAAGACCAAUACCAGCAGGACCAACAUCAGCAGGACCAACAGCAGCAGGACCAUCAUCAGGAGGAGCAACAAAUAGGCCGAGUGUCAGCCAGUAUGCAGUCAUUGCACAGGGCCUAGAACACAUGACACUGGACAGCAUCCGUAGAGCCAUUAUUGCCCGCCUUCCAACCUACAGGAGAUGCACCUAUCGAGAAGGAGGAGCAGUAGAGUCCUGUAGAAUCUGCCUCUCACAGCUUGAGAGUGGGGAGGAAGUAGCAGUGUCAUCCUGCCAGCAUGUUUUCCACAUACCACACUUGACACAAUGGCUGCAGAAUAACACCACUUGCCCCCUGUGCCGUGCACGAUGCUUUGACUUGAGCAGAUUCUCCCAGCAUCACCUCUAGGGGAAGUCAAAUAGACCAUCUACACCUUGAUAAGCCAAAGAACAAAUCAAGAAAAUGCUAUAUCCGUAUAGUGAAGAACAUGUUAUGCCGAUACUAUUUGCUUAUCAUACUGUUAGUGGCUUGCUGCCGGGAGGUGCACUCAUCAGCGUGAGCCGUCAUGAUUGGAGAAGACAACAUGUUCCGUGCAGAUGCCGUCACCAUAAGAAAAGCUGAAAGAUAAUAUCUGUUGCCUUUAGGUGACAUUAUACUGAAACCUCACUUAAGUAAAGUAAAUAAAUGUUUUAUUGUUUCA